rnacentral:rRNA from 1 species
UACGUAGGGUGCGAGCGUUAAUCGGAAUUACUGGGCGUAAAGCGUGCGCAGGCGGUUCGCCAAGUCAGGUGUGAAAUCCCCGGGCUUAACCUGGGAAUUGCGCUUGAAACUAGCGGGCUUGAGUGUGGCAGAGGGGGGUGGAAUUCCACGGUGUAGCAGUGAAAUGCGUAGAGAUGUGGAGGAACACCGAUGGCGAAGGCAGCCCCCUGGGUCAAGAUUGACGCUCAUGCACGAAAGCGUGGGGAGCAAACAGG